AGAGUUUGAUCCUGGCUCAGAGCGAACGCUGGCGGCAGGCCUAACACAUGCAAGUCGAACGGACCCUUCGGGGUUAGUGGCGGACGGGUGAGUAACACGUGGGAACGUGCCUUUUGGUUCGGAAUAGCUCCUGGAAACGGGUGGUAAUGCCGAAUGUGCCCUUCGGGGGAAAGAUUUAUCGCCAUUAGAGCGGCCCGCGUCUGAUUAGCUAGUUGGUGAGGUAAAGGCUCACCAAGGCUACGAUCAGUAGCUGGUCUGAGAGGAUGACCAGCCACAUUGGGACUGAGACACGGCCCAAACUCCUACGGGAGGCAGCAGUGGGGAAUCUUGCGCAAUGGGCGAAAGCCUGACGCAGCCAUGCCGCGUGAAUGAUGAAGGUCUUAGGAUUGUAAAAUUCUUUCACCGGGGACGAUAAUGACGGUACCCGGAGAAGAAGCCCCGGCUAACUUCGUGCCAGCAGCCGCGGUAAUACGAAGGGGGCUAGCGUUGCUCGGAAUUACUGGGCGUAAAGGGAGCGUAGGCGGACAUUUAAGUCAGGGGUGAAAUCCCAGAGCUCAACUCUGGAACUGCCUUUGAUACUGGAUGUCUUGAGUGUGAGAGAGGUAUGUGGAACUCCGAGUGUAGAGGUGAAAUUCGUAGAUAUUCGGAAGAACACCAGUGGCGAAGGCGACAUACUGGCUCAUUACUGACGCUGAGGCUCGAAAGCGUGGGGAGCAAACAGGAUUAGAUACCCUGGUAGUCG
rnacentral:rRNA from 1 species